GAAAUGCGAUAAGUAAUGUGAAUUGCAGAAUUCAGUGAAUCAUCGAAUCUUUGAACGCACAUUGCGCUCGCCAGUAUUCUGGCGAGCAUGCCUGUUCGAGCGUCAUUUCAACCAUCAAGCUCUGCUUGCGUUGGGGAUCCGCGGCUGCCCGCGGUCCCUCAAAAACAGUGGCGGGCUCGCUAGUCACACCGAGCGUAGUAACUCUACAUCGCUAUGGUCGUGCGGCGGGUUCUUGCCGUAAAACCCCCAACUUCUAAGGUUGACCUCGGAUCAGGUAGGAAUACACGCUGAACUUAAGC
rnacentral:misc_RNA from 1 species